GCCGGCGUGGCUCAGUGGUUGAGCAUCAACCUAUGAACUCGGAGGUCAGGGUUCGAUUCCCGAUCCGGGCA
rfam:Myotis lucifugus cont2.35594, whole genome shotgun sequence.